rnacentral:rRNA from 1 species
CCCUAUGGGGUGCAGCAGGCGAUGGAGAUACUGGGCGCCGAGUUGGUCGAGGUCAGGCCGUUCCGGAAACAGGAAAGGAGCGGCCGGAAGACGGACGGCGCAGGCAGGCGAAAUCCCUGAACCAUGCGACUAUUUUGACUAUCGAGGAGUGAAAGCUGAUGGCUAAAGGAUUCAAUCCAAUGCAGCAGGUCAAGGCCCUGCAGGACAAAAUGGCUAAGAUGCAGGCGGACCUGGCGCUCAGGCAGGUCGAGGCGUCUGCCGGAGGGGGGAUGGUCACCGUCGUGGUGAAAGGGCGGCAGGAAGUGGUGAGCGUCAAGAUAGACCGCCAGGUGGUCGAUCCCGAGGAUAUCGAAAUGUUGCAGGACCUGGUGGUAGCCGCCGUAAACGACGGUCUGAGAAAGGCCCAGGAAAUGGCUGCGUCCGAGAUGGGCAAGCUGGCGGGGGAGC